rnacentral:rRNA from 1 species
GAUGAACGCUGACAGAAUGCUUAACACAUGCAAGUCUACCAAGAAUCACUUCGGUGAGGAAUGGUGGCGGACGGGUGAGUAACGCGUAAAUAAUCUGCCCUUUAGACUGGGAUAUCCUUUGGAAACGAAGGUUAAUACCGGAUAUUAUGAGAUGGACGCAUGUUCAACUUAUGAAAGCUAAAUGCACUAGAGGAGGAGUUUGAGUCCCAUUAGCUAGUUGGUGAGGUAAAGGCUCACCAAGGCCACGAUGGGUAGCCGGCCUGGUAGGGUGAACGGCCACAAGGGAACUGAGACACGGUCCUUACUCCUACGGGAGGCAGCAGUGGGGAAUAUUGGACAAUGGACCAAAAGUCUGAUCCAGCAAUUCUGUGUGCACGAUGAAGGUCUUCGGAUUGUAAAGUGCUUUCAGUAGGGAAGAAAAAAAUGACGGUACCUACAGAAGAAGCGACGGCUAAAUAUGUGCCAGCCGCCGCCGUAACAC